GAUGAACGCUGGCGGCGUGCUUAACACAUGCAAGUCGAACGAAGCACUUUAUUAGAAUAUCUUCGGAUAGGAAGAUAAAGUGACUGAGUGGCGGACGGGUGAGUAACGCGUGGGUAACCUGACUCACCCUGGGGGAUGGCAGUUGGAAACGACUGGUAAUACCGCAUAAGCGCACAGCUUCACAUGAAGCAGUGUGAAAACCCGAGAGGGUGUGGGAUGGACCCGCGUCUGAUUAGCUAGUUGGUGAGGUAACGGCCCACCAAGGCGACGAUCAGUAGCCGACCUGAGAGGGUGACCGGCCACAGUGGGACUGAGACACGGCCCAGACUCCCACGGGAGGCAGCAGUGGUGAAUAUUGCACAAUGGAGAAAACUCUGAUGCAGCGACGCCGCGUGAGCGAAGAAGUAUUUCGGUAUGUAAAGCUCUAUCAGCAGGGAAGAUAGUGACGGUACCUGACUAAGAAGCACCGGCUAAAUACGUGCCAGCCGCCGCCGUAACAC
rnacentral:rRNA from 1 species